GACGCCCUGGCCCGCAGUUGUCUUCCACCUCCGUUCGGUCUCCUGUUCACGCACGCCUCGCAUCAUAUCUCUCACAUCGGUCUCGCCCUAUUCACACCAAUCCUUCCAUGAUUUCUGCCUAUCUCGCACCCCAUCGCGACGCACUCGAUCUCCUCUGUCUAUUCCCUCUACUGGCCCCUCCACCCGUGCCCUGGCUCGAGGGAACCGAGCUCGAGGAGAUCCGCCACCGCGCCCGAUGCUGAAGUAGAAGGAGAGCAUCGACCUCAACCCGAAGUAGCAACCUGCAACCGUGACUUGAGCCGCUCGUCGUCGUUGCUACAGGACGCGCCGAAGCACCACUAGGACGCCCUCGGAUACACUGCUUGCCACUGCACCUUCCUUUGCACUUAUUCGAGUCAUAACACAAUCAGGAGUGUCGCCACGCUCGAAACCGAAGCCGCCGUCAUCGAUGGCAAGGAAAAUUCCCUCCGCCCGAACAGAAAACCGCCGCCCGAGCCUCCUACCACGGCCAAGUUUGGCGACAGUAAGCCACACCCCUGCCCCUCUGUUCGUCUACAGAAUCGCCUUGUUGUCCCGCCUCUCCCUGGCCAUCUUCCCCCUUCGCAGACGCAAGGAUCUGGGCUCCCCAAGGUCGCCAGAUCUUGCAGGAGGGCCACCGUCGCAGUUGCACGUCCCCGGAGCACACCAGAGCACCACCCGCGUUUCCCCGCUGCACCAGGACUCCCCGACGUCGAUGUGGGCACCAUAGUCGUCGCCCUGAUCCGGUGGUUCCGCUCGUGACCUCAACAAGCCUCGCCGACCACGGGAGCCGACUGUACCUUCAUCAGAGCAGCCGCCGCCAUUUUCCCCUGCUGAUUACUCGGAGCGUGACGAGUAGAAUUAUCAGGAAUUGUGAGUGCGAAGAACUUCAUCAAACGUAUAAGG